rnacentral:rRNA from 1 species
GAUGAACGCUGGCGGCGUGCCUAAUACAUGCAAGUCGAGCGAACAGAUAAGGAGCUUGCUCCUUUGAAGUUAGCAGCGGACGGGUGAGUAACACGUGGGUAACCUACCUAUAAGACUGGGAUAACUUCGGGAAACCGGAGCUAAUACCGGAUAACAUUUAGAACCGCAUGGUUCUAAAGUGAAAGAUGGUUUUGCUAUCACUUAUAGAUGGACCCGCGCCGUAUUAGCUAGUUGGUAAGGUAACGGCUUACCAAGGCGACGAUACGUAGCCGACCUGAGAGGGUGAUCGGCCACACUGGAACUGAGACACGGUCCAGACUCCUACGGGAGGCAGCAGUAGGGAAUCUUCCGCAAUGGGCGAAAGCCUGACGGAGCAACGCCGCGUGAGUGAUGAAGGGUUUCGGCUCGUAAAACUCUGUUAUUAGGGAAGAACAAAUGUGUAAGUAACUGUGCACAUCUUGACGGUACCUAAUCAGAAAGCCACGGCUAACUACGUG